rnacentral:rRNA from 1 species
AUUGAACGCUGGCGGCAGGCCUAACACAUGCAAGUCGAACGAGUGGCGGACGGGUGAGUAAUGUCUGGGAAACUGCCCGAUGGAGGGGGAUAACUACUGGAAACGGUAGCUAAUACCGCAUACCAUCGGAUGUGCCCAGAUGGGAUUAGCUUGUAGGUGGGGUAACGACUCACCUAGGCGACGAUCCCUAGCUGGGCUGAGAGGAUGACCAGCCGCAUGGUAACGGGUGCACGGUCCAGACUCCUACGGGCGGCAGCAGUGGGGAAUAUGGCACAAUGGGGGCAAGCCUGAUGCAGCCAUGCCGCGUGUAUGAAGAAGGCCUUCGGGUUGUAAAUUACUUUCAGCGGGGAGGCGUUACCCGCAGAAGAAGCACCGGCUAACUCCGUGCCAGCAGCCGCUGUAAUAC